GCGACCGCCAUUCCUGCUCUGGUUUCAAGUUAAUUGGCGGGCUUUGUUCAUUGGUUCGCGCCAAUUGCUGCAGGCCGGCAGGUUGAACAGGAUUUGACCCGCAGCAGGAUGGCUUGUGAACACCGCGUAGACGCCGUGGAGCAAGAGCUGGAACAGGCCGAGGAGGCCGAGAGGACGGAGGACACAGUCGUGAGGAGAGACGGUGUGUUUAGCUCCUUGCUUCGCGGCCUCUUCUGGCCGGUCGGCAUCGUGAUACGUGCAUACCGCGGGGUUUGGUGGGUGCUGGGCUUCCGACCGCCAAAGGAGACAGCUGCGGUCACUUCCGCGGUUACCA